GCGGACGUGGUGGAAUUGGUAGACACACUGGAUUUAGGUUCCAGCGCCGAAAGGCGUGAGAGUUCGAGUCUCUCCGUCCGCACCA
rnacentral:tRNA from 1 species